UGGGGAAUAUUGGACAAUGGGCGGAAGCCUGAUCCAGCCAUGCCGCGUGUGUGAAGAAGGCCUUUUGGUUGUAAAGCACUUUAAGCGAGGAGGAGGCUACUUGGAUUAAUACUCUAGGAUAGUGGACGUUACUCGCAGAAUAAGCACCGGCUAACUCUGUGCCAGCAGCCGCGGUAAUACAGAGGGUGCGAGCGUUAAUCGGAUUUACUGGGCGUAAAGCGUGCGUAGGCGGCUUCUUAAGUCGGAUGUGAAAUCCCUGAGCUUAACUUAGGAAAUGCAUUCGAUACUGGGGAGCUAGAGUAUGGGAGAGGAUGGUAGAAUUCCAGGUGUAGCGGUGAAAUGCGUAGAGAUCUGGAGGAAUACCGAUGGCGAAGGCAGCCAUCUGGCCUAAUACUGACGCUGAGGUACGAAAGCAUGGGGGGCAAACAGG
rnacentral:rRNA from 1 species